GGAGAGGUGCCAGAGUGGUCGAAUGGGACGGUCUCGAAAACCGUUAUAUGGGCAACUGUACCGAGGGUUCGAAUCCCUCCCUCUCCG
rnacentral:tRNA from 1 species